UGCAGUCGAGGGGUAGAANUAGCUUGCUAUUUUGAGACCGGCGCACGGGUGCGUAACGCGUAUGCAAUCUGCCUUGUACUGGGGGAUAGCCCGGAGAAAUCCGGAUUAAUACCCCAUAGUAUAUAAGAGUGGCAUCACUUUUCUAUUAAAGAAUUUCGGUACAAGAUGAGCAUGCGUCCCAUUAGCUAGUUGGUAUGGUAACGGCAUACCAAGGCUUUGAUGGGUAGGGGUCCUGAGAGGGAGGUCCCCCACACUGGUACUGAGACACGGACCAGACUCCUACGGGAGGCAGCAGUGAGGAAUAUUGGUCAAUGGACGCAAGUCUGAACCAGCCAUGCCGCGUGCAGGAUGACGGUCCUAUGGAUUGUAAACUGCUUUUGUACGGGAAGAAACUACUCUACGUGUAGAGUCCUGACGGUACCGUAAGAAUAAGGAUCGGCUAACUCCGUGCCAGCAGCCGCGGUAAUACGGAGGAUCCAAGCGUUAUCCGGAAUCAUUGGGUUUAAAGGGUCCGUAGGCGGUUUUAUAAGUCAGUGGUGAAAUCCGGCAGCUCAACUGUCGAACUGCCNUUGAUACUGUAGAACUUGAAUUAUUGUGAAGUAACUAGAAUAUGUAGUGUAGCGGUGAAAUGCUUANAUAUUNCAUGGAAUACCNAUUGCNAAGGCNGGUUACUAACAAUACAUUNACGCUNAUGGACNAAAGCGUGGGGAGCNAACANGAUUANAUACCNUGNUANUCC
rnacentral:rRNA from 1 species